rnacentral:rRNA from 1 species
UACGUAGGGUGCAAGCGUUGUCCGGAAUUAUUGGGCGUAAAGAGCUCGUAGGCGGUCUGUCACGUCUGCUGUGAAAAACUCGGGGCUUAACCCCGGGCCUGCAGUGGGUACGGGCAGACUAGAGUGCGGUAGGGGAGACUGGAAUUCCUGGUGUAGCGGUGAAAUGCGUAGAUAUUGGGAGGAACACCAGUGGCGAAGGCGGCUCGCUGGACCGGUUCUGACGCUGAUGCGCGAAAGCGUGGGGGAGCAAACGGGG